rnacentral:tRNA from 1 species
GUGGUGGCUCAGUGGUAGAGUGCUCGCAUAGCAUGCAUGAGGCACUGGGUUCAAUCCCCAGCACCACA